UGGAGGAAAACAAAAGCUUAUACUCAACAAGAGAGCAUUGCCCAUUGCCUUGGUGCUUGAUCUUGAAAACAUAUUGAAAACAAUGGUACUAUGCCUUCUCAAUAAAGGAAAUUUCAAUAACUAAAAACAUACCUUUGUUGAAUCCUUUGAGCUUCAGAGAGGAAGCCUAU